rnacentral:rRNA from 1 species
CCUAACACAUGCAAGUCGAGCGAGAAGGAAGCAAUUCCUGUAAAGCGGCGCACGGGUGAGUAACACGUAGGUAAUCUACCUCGAAGUGGUGGAUAACCUUCCGAAAGGAGGGCUAAUACAGCAUGAGACCACGGUUUCGAAAGAGAUUGAGGUCAAAGCGGGCCACUAUACAUAAGCUCGCGCUUCGAGAUGAGCCUGCGGCCCAUCAUGGUAGUUGGUAGGGUAAUGGCCUACCAAGCCGAAGACGGGUAGCUGGUCUGAGAGGAUGAUCAGCCACACUGGAACUGAGACACGGUCCAGACUCCUACGGGAGGCAGCAGUGGGGAAUCUUGCGCAAUGGGCGAAAGCCUGACGCAGCGACGCCGCGUGAGUGAUGAAGGCCUUCGGGUUGUAAAGCUCUGUGGAGGGGGACGAAUAAGGGUUGGCUAACAUCCAGCUCGAUGACGGUACCCCUUUAGCAAGCACCGGCUAACUCUGUGCCAGCAGCCGCGGUAAGACAGAGGGUGC